rnacentral:rRNA from 1 species
UACGUAGGGGGCUAGCGUUGUCCGGAAUCAUUGGGCGUAAAGAGCGCGUAGGCGGCCAGAUAAGUCCGGUGUGAAAGUCAAAGGCUCAACCUUUGAACGCCGAUGGAUACUGCCGGGCUAGAGUCCGGAAGAGGCGAGUGGAAUUCCUGGUGUAGCGGUGGAAUGCGCAGAUAUCAGAAGGAACACCAAUAGCGAAGGCAGCUCGCUGGGACGGUACUGACGCUGAGGCGCGAAAGCGUGGGGAGCGAACAGG